CCUUCUGCAAGCUGUGUGAUCUGGUGACAGGUGUUCCUGAUCAGAGUCUGAUUGUGCAGGCCUUUGGAGGAGUAUUUAGGAGUCAGCCACCAGUCCUUUGAUGACUGAGUGUUUUGCCCAUGUGUGCUCGUGAGGUGUGGACGGAUCUCGAACCCCAGACCUUUACCCCUUCGGACUGCAUCCUGACUGCUAAUAAUUCUCCUGGAUUCUCAAUUCCUGACUGUUGGCUUAGUUUCUGAACGCCUCUAACUUCCUGCCUUUGUGGUUGCAACUCCUCACCUUGGAUGAUGUUCAACUGGACCACCUUCUUGAUUGCCUAACUCUUUGCCCCACCAGUAGACUCACCAGCUCAGCUUUUCCAUAAGAAGAAAGUAUCCUGUGCAACCUGAGUUCCUGCCUGAGAUUUCCUGACCGGAGAAUCCGGUGUAACCAGAACAUGUUCUGUUUAGAAAUAAAUGAUUUACUAACUUUA